rnacentral:rRNA from 1 species
UACGAAGGGGGCUAGCGUUGCUCGGAAUCACUGGGCGUAAAGGGCGCGUAGGCGGCCUGCUAAGUCGAACGUGAAAUCCCUGGGCUCAACCCAGGAACUGCGUCCGAUACUGGUUGGCUUGAAUCCGGGAGAGGGAUGUGGAAUUCCAGGUGUAGCGGUGAAAUGCGUAGAUAUCUGGAGGAACACCGGUGGCGAAGGCGACAUCCUGGACCGGUAUUGACGCUGAGGCGCGAAAGCCAGGGGAGCAAACGG